CCUACGGGGGGCAGCAGUCGAGAAUCAUUCACAAUGGGGGAAACCCUGAUGGUGCGACGCCGCGUGGGGGAAUGAAGGUCUUCGGAUUGUAAACCCCUGUCAUGUGGGAGCAAAUUAAAAAGAUAGUACCACAAGAGGAAGAGACGGCUAACUCUGUGCCAGCAGCCGCGGUAAUACAGAGGUCUCAAGCGUUGUUCGGAAUCACUGGGCGUAAAGCGUGCGUAGGCUGUUUCGUAAGUCGUGUGUGAAAGGCCCGGGCUCAACCCGCGGACGGCACAUGAUACUGCGAGACUAGAGUAAUGGAGGGGGAACCGGAAUGCUGGGGGUAGCAGUGAAAGGCGUAGAGAUCGAGAGGAACACUCGUGGCGAAGGCGGGUGCCUGGACAUUAACUGACGCUGAGGCACGAAGGCCAGGGGAGCGAAAGGGAUUAGAUACCCCUGGAGUC
rnacentral:rRNA from 1 species